rnacentral:lncRNA from 1 species
UUCUCCUUCUACUGUCCCAGUCCCAGGAAUCAAACUUAGGUGAUCCAGCUUGUUAGUAAGAGCCUUGAACCACUAAGCCAUUGCUGCAACUGCAGCCCCUUUAAAUUGAAAUUGUAACCCCAUCCCUACUCCCAAAGGGAGUAAUUGUUCCAGGAUAGUAGCUGGUAAGCAGAGGAUAGUUGACAGUACACCAUACAGUCUGCUGGAGGGCACAACUAGGAAAGAAGGGAAAUAGUUUGAUUCUCUCUGGUGCAAUAUAAAGACCUAACCUCGUAGUUGAGAUGUAAUAUCCCCUAACCCUUUUGCAGGAGUCCUUUUGUGCUCACAUUCCUGAGUUAGAAUGUGAACAUAACUUCUGCCCCUUGCCAGUAGGGGUCACAAGAGUCUUCUUAGUUGCCCUAUUUGUGGUUUGCAAAAAGUUUGCCAGUCAGGAAAUCCUUAGCCUCUGAUUUCUCUGUGAGUCACCGAGCUGACUAAACCAUUUCUCGGCUUCCCCAAGGAAGUAGAACGCAACCUCCAGGAUGCCAUGCAAGUGUGCCGCAAUGUUCUCCUGGACCCUCAGCUGGUGCCUGGUGGUGGAGCCUCUGAGAUGGCUGUGGCCCAUGCCUUGACAGAAAAAUCUAAGGCCAUGACUGGUGUGGAACAAUGGCCAUAUAGGGCUGUGGCCCAGGCUUUAGAGGUCAUCCCUCGGACCUUGAUCCAGAACUGUGGG